CCCUUAGAUGUCCUGGGCCGCACGCGUGCUACACUGAUACGUGCAACAAGUUUACUUCCUGGCUCGGAAGAGUUCGGGUAAUCUUUAUAAUGCGUAUCGUGAUAGGGAUAGAUCUUUGAAAUUAUGGAUCUUGAACGAGGAAUUCCUAGUAAGCAUAAGUCAUCAGCUUGUGCUGAUUACGUCCCUGCCCUUUGUACACACCGCCCGUCGCUGCUACCGAUUUUGAGUGAUCCGGUGAACCUUCUGGACUGUUUUUAGGCUCGACCUAAUUGUGGGAAAUUAAGUAAACCUUAUCACUUAGAGGAAGCAGAANUCGUANCA
rnacentral:rRNA from 1 species